rnacentral:rRNA from 1 species
GACAGAGGGUGCAAACGUUGUUCGGAAUUACUGGGCGUAAAGCGUGUGUAGGCGGUCCACUAAGUCGGGUGUGAAAGCCCUGGGCUCAACCCAGGAAGUGCACUCGAAACUGGCGGGCUAGAGUAUCGGAGAGGUUGGUGGAAUUCUCGGUGUAGAGGUGAAAUUCGUAGAUAUCGAGAGGAACACCGGUGGCGAAGGCGGCAUCCUGGACCAACACUGACACUGAUGAGCGAAAGCCAGGGGAGCAAACGGG